AGCGAACGCUGGCGGCAGGCCUAACACAUGCAAGUCGAACGAACUCUUCGGAGUUAGUGGCGGACGGGUGAGUAACACGUGGGAACGUGCCUUUAGGUUCGGAAUAACUCAGGGAAACUUGUGCUAAUACCGAAUGUGCCCUUCGGGGGAAAGAUUUAUCGCCUUUAGAGCGGCCCGCGUCUGAUUAGCUAGUUGGUGAGGUAAAGGCUCACCAAGGCGACGAUCAGUAGCUGGUCUGAGAGGAUGAUCAGCCACAUUGGGACUGAGACACGGCCCAAACUCCUACGGGAGGCAGCAGUGGGGAAUCUUGCGCAAUGGGCGAAAGCCUGACGCAGCCAUGCCGCGUGAAUGAUGAAGGUCUUAGGAUUGUAAAAUUCUUUCACCGGGGACGAUGAUGACGGUACCCGGAGAAGAAGCCCCGGCUAACUUCGUG
rnacentral:rRNA from 1 species